rnacentral:rRNA from 1 species
AUGUUGCCUGUUAUAAAAUUUGCUCUCUUGCCAUCUGUGCUCAUACUGGCAUCAGCUUCAAGUUUCCGGGCACUGGCAUCCAGCAAUAAGACUGAUCUGGAUGCCUUGAUAGCAUUAAAGGCGGGUCUAAGCCGUCACUCGGAUGCACUAGAUUCAUGGAACAUAACUGCUGACUUCUGCCAAUGGCAUGGUGUCAUCUGCAGCCUCAAUCAUAAGCAAAGGGUCUCAGCACUUAAUCUCUCCUCGGCGGGGCUUCGUGGAUAUGUAGCUCCUUCCCUGGGGAACCUCACUUACCUGAGAAGUCUAGAUCUCAGCUACAAUCUAUUUCAUGGUGAAAUCCCAUGGACAAUUGGCCAGUUGUCACAAAUGUCAUAUCUUGACCUCUCAAACAACUUGCUCCAGGGAGAAAUUCCUUGGACAAUUGGCCAGCUCAGACAGUUAUCACACCUCUAUCUCUCAAAUAAUUCAAUUGAAGGUGGGAUCAUGUAUGGCCUGAGGAACUGCACCCGUCUUGUCAGCAUCAAACUUGACCUGAAUAAGCUCCACCAAGAAAUCCCUGAUUGGCUUGGAGGCUUGUCAAGGAUUGAGGUCAUGUCACUAGGGAAGAACAAGUUCACAGGGAUCAUCCCACCAUCACUUGGCAACUUAUCAUCGCUGCGGAUAUUGAACAUCAAUGACAACCAGUUGAGUGGUCCAAUUCCUGAGAGUCUUGGCAGGAUCAGUAAGCUUGAGAAGCUAGGACUGCAAGUAAACCACCUCUCAGGCACCAUCCCAAGAACGGUCUUUAACAUGUCCUCACUCGCCCACAUUGGUCUGCAGAUGAACGAGCUAAGCGGCACACUUCCCUCCGAUUUGGGCAAUGGGCUACCAAAAAUCGAUCACCUUAUCCUUGCUUCGAACCAUUUCACUAGAAGAGUUGCAUCUUCACUUGCAAAUGCAACCACAAUUCAGUCACUUGACCUCUUUGGUAACAAACUCAUUGGAUCCGUGGCUCCAGAGAUUGGAGCACUCUGCCCGAACUUCCCGAUUCUUAAGGGAAACCAGCUGAAGUCAAGCACUGCCCAGGACUGGGGGUUCAUCACUUCAUUAACAACUUGUACUAGUGUUAAUGGUGUCAUAUUGCGACACAACAGGUUUAGUGGUGUGCUUCCAAGUUCUAUCGCAAACCUGUCCAGGCAACUCGAAUUUUUUGAUAUUAGUUUCAAUGAGAUUUAUGGCAAGAUACCAGUUGGCAUUGGAUACUUCCCUUAUCUAAUCAAGCUCGGACUCUCUAGCAAUCGAUUUACAGGUGCCAUACCAGACAACAUAGGGAACUUGAAAAUGCUCCAGUGGUUGACACUAGAUAAUAGCCGUAUUUCUGGCACGAUGCCGUCCUCGCUCGGGAACUUAACACAGUUGGAGGACCUUUCAGUAGCUAACAAUGUCUUGCAAGGAUAUCUUCCAGCAAACCUUGGAAAUCUCCAACGGCUCGUUGAUGCAAACUUUUCAAACAAUGCGCUUUCAGGUCCCUUACAUAGAUAG